GACGAACGCUGGCGGCGUGCUUAACACAUGCAAGUCGAACGGAAAGGCCCUGCUUUUGUGGGGUGCUCGAGUGGCGAACGGGUGAGUAACACGUGAGUAACCUGCCCUUGACUUUGGGAUAACUUCAGGAAACUGGGGCUAAUACCGGAUAGGAGCUCCUGCUGCAUGGUGGGGGUUGGAAAGUUUCGGCGGUUGGGGAUGGACUCGCGGCUUAUCAGCUUGUUGGUGGGGUAGUGGCUUACCAAGGCUUUGACGGGUAGCCGGCCUGAGAGGGUGACCGGCCACAUUGGGACUGAGAUACGGCUCAGACGCCUACGGGAGGCAGCAGUGGUGAAUAUUGCACAAUGGGCGGAAUCCUGAGGCAGCAACGCCGCGUGCGGGAGGACGGCCUUCGGGUUGUAAACCGCUUUCGCCAGUGACGAAGCGUGAGUGACGGGAAUGGGUAAAGAAGCACCGGCUAACUACGUG
rnacentral:rRNA from 1 species